AGCAGACUGGCCUAGUGGAAAGAGCCUGCGCUUGGGAGGCAGAGGAACUGGGUUCUAAUCCCAGCUCUGCCA
rnacentral:tRNA from 1 species